GUCCCUGCAGUGUCUUGGAUAACACGUUGGAUUUCUAAUCCAAGAGUCAUUGGUUCGAAUCCUAUCUAGGAUG